rnacentral:rRNA from 1 species
CAGCCGCCACGGUAAUACGUAGGGUGCAAGCGUUAAUCGGAAUUACUGGGCGUAAAGCGUGCGCAGGCGGUUAUAUAAGUCAGAUGUGAAAUCCCCGGGCUCAACCUGGGACCUGCAUUUGUGACUGUAUAGCUAGAGUACGGUAGAGGGGGAUGGAAUUCCGCGUGUAGCAGUGAAAUGCGUAGAUAUGCGGAGGAACACCGAUGGCGAAGGCAAUCCCCUGGACCUGUACUGACGCUCAUGCACGAAAGCGUGGGGAGCAAACAGGAUUAGAUACCCCUGUAGUCCCUGUCUCUUAUAC